rnacentral:rRNA from 1 species
UACUCGAGUGGCGAACGGGCGAGUAACACGUGGGUGAUCUGCCCUGCACUUCGGGAUAAGCUUGGGAAACUGGGUCUAAUACCGGAUAGGAGCCAUCUUUAGUGUGGUGGUUGGAAAGUUUUUUCGGUGUAGGAUGAGCUCGCGGCCUAUCAGCUUGUUGGUGGGGUAAUGGCCUACCAAGGCGGCGACGGGUAGCCGGCCUGAGAGGGUGUACGGCCACAUUGGGACUGAGAUACGGCCCAG